GACGAACGCUGGCGGCGUGCUUAAUACAUGCAAGUCGAACGGAGCUUAGCCAGUAGUUUACUACAGGCGAAAGCUUAGUGGCGGACGGGUGAGUAACGCGUGGGUAAUCUGCCCCUAAGU
rnacentral:rRNA from 1 species